AUUGAACGCUGGUGGCAUGCCUAAUACAUGCAAGUCGAACGAGUGGCGGACGGGUGAGUAAUGUGUGGGAAACUGCCCGAUGGAGGGGGAUAACUACUGGAAACGGUAGCUAAUACCGCAUACCAUCGGAUGUGCCCAGAUGGGAUUAGCCAGUAGGUGGGGUAAAGGCUCACCUAGGCGACGAUCCCUAGCGGGUCUGAGAGGAUGACCGGCCACACUGGAACGGAGACACGGUCCAGACUCCUACGGGAGGCAGCAGUGGGGAAUAUUGCACAAUGGGCGCAAGCCUGAUGCAGCCAUGCCGCGUGUAUGAAGAAGGCCUUCGGGUUGUAAAGUACUGUCAGCGGGGAGGCGUUACCCGCAGAAGAAGCACCGGCUAACUCCGUGCCAGCAGCCGCGGUAAUUC
rnacentral:rRNA from 1 species